rnacentral:rRNA from 1 species
CCUACGGGUGGCAGCAGUGGGGAAUAUUGCACAAUGGGCGCAAGCCUGAUGCAGCCAUGCCGCGUGUGUGAAGAAGGCCUUCGGGUUGUAAAGCACUUUCAGCGGGGAGGAAGGCGGUGAGGUUAAUAACCUCAUCGAUUGACGUUACCCGCAGAAGAAGCACCGGCUAACUCCGUGCCAGCAGCCGCGGUAAUACGGAGGGUGCAAGCGUUAAGCGGAAUUACUGGGCGUAAAGCGCACGCAGGCGGUCUGUCAAGUCGGAUGUGAAAUCCCCGGGCUCAACCUGGGAACUGCAUUCGAAACUGGCAGGCUAGAGUCGUGUAGAGGGGGGUAGAAUUCCAGGUGUAGCGGUGAAAUGCGUAGAGAUCUGGAGGAAUACCGGUGGCGAAGGCGGCCCCCUGGACAAAGACUGACGCUCAGGUGCGAAAGCGUGGGGAGCAAACAGGAUUAGAUACCCUAGGAGUC